rnacentral:rRNA from 1 species
UAAUGUAUGGGGAUCUGCCCGAUAGAGGGGAAUAACUACUGGAAACGGUGGCUAAUACCGCAUAAUGUCUACGGACCAAAGCAGGGGCUCUUCGGACCUUGCACUAUCGGAUGAACCCAUAUGGGAUUAGCUAGUAGGUGGGGUAAAGGCUCACCUAGGCGACGAUCUCUAGCUGGUCUGAGAGGAUGAUCAGCCACACUGGGACUGAGACGCGGCCCAG